ACGGAGAAAGCCGAAAAUCCUUCAACAGAGUAGGCA
rnacentral:ncRNA from 1 species